CGCGGCGAUGCGGGCGGUCCGCCGCUCGCGACGACGCGAGAAGUCCACUGAACCUUAUCAUUUAGAGGAAGGAGAAGUCGUAACAAGGUUUCCGUA
rnacentral:rRNA from 1 species